CAGCUUCAAACAUUUGUGCUUUAAAGGGUCCCCAGGAGGUCAACUCAUUUGGGCUAUUUCGGAUCUUGUUGGGAUUAAGUAAGGUAAGCCUUAUGGAACCAGGAGGUGGCAGUGGAGAACACACUGCAAAGCUAUGAGAUUACCAAAAGGAUAUUUCCUGUGCUUUCUCUGCUCACUACAGAGGUGCAUGCUACUAUUGUGUAAUUCUAGCAAAGAAAAAACAUUCUGAGCAUACAGCUUGACACAGGCCACAGCUAAUGCAUGAAUCUCUUCCCCUAAUGGAAGGGGCUUCUUUCAUGGAGAGUAUCCCGCUCCUAAUCACUUGGUAGUGGGGACUACACAACAUGGAACCAUUAUUAAAAUUUCAAGUCUGUAAAUAUGAUGAUUUAACAAAUAAAACCAAUAUGGGGGGUCCAGUCACAAAAAAGUGGAGAAAGAAAAUGGGGAAUGAAUAUAGAAACUAUAGUGGCUAUAGAUCUUGCACUCCUGUAGCAAGCGGGACUUUAUAUGCCAGUUUAACCAUGCACUAUUUGUUAUAUUAAACGUACAGUUUAACUUUAGUCUUUCCAGUGGAAUCAGAUCAGUGUUUCUCUACACCAUCCCAUGCAUGAGAAAAAUAGUAAUUUUCACAUGUCCCCUUGAUGAGAUUAUUCCAGGGAGUUCAGCGAAGAAACAGUUCUGCUUUCUCACUUAGCCAUAACGGAUUUAUGAGCACAACUCCCAUUACCUUUAAUGGGAGUGUGUGGGGCGGGAGUUACCUCAAUAACUCUCUCACAUCACUGGAAUUAUUGAUCCCCCUAGUCUUGUUUAGCAAGACUGUUCUAUAAAAUGUGUGACCCUUGUCCUGGGCUAUAUACUAGCUCAAUAAAUUAAUUUUUAACAGAGCAAAUAUUGAUUUAAUGAAUAUAUAGUAUAUAUAACACUCAUUUGUGGG